CCGAGUUUACAACUCCCAAACCCCUGUGAACAUACCACUUGUUGCCUCGGCGGAUCAGCCCGCUCCCGGUAAAACGGGACGGCCCGCCAGAGGACCCCUAAACUCUGUUUCUAUAUGUAGCUUCUGAGUAAAAACCAUAAAUAAAUCA
rnacentral:misc_RNA from 1 species